UCUGCGUCUCUCGUCCUCCACGUCGCCCAGCCAGAUAGUGCUCGACCUUUCUCUAAAAAAGAGAUGGUGCUCCCCCCUCAAAAAAAAGAAAAAGAAAAAAAAAAGAUGGUGCUCGACCUCGAAGCCGCCGCACGCCGCCGCUGAAUGCCUGAAUCCCUAAUUCCCUCCGAGCUCCGACUGCUUCCGGCUCCACUCCGCGCUGCCGAGCCCACCUUGGUGGCAAGCUCCUCCACCUCCAGCGGCUCGCGCCGAUGCGUCAUCUCGCUGACUCUCUCCCCGCACCCUGCAGUGCAUCGUCUGCUCCAGCGCUGCAGCGCCUGGCAAGCUCUUCCACGCCGGCGUCGGUGGAGCUGCUACACUAGGCACGGAGGCAUAUGCAAGAGGACUGCGAGAGCGCGAGUGGAUUUUGUUCGGAGAGGUGGCUGGUUGGCGCUGUUCCUGCUCGACAGCUCAAGCCAGAAUUGGACAUGAAGAGGAACGGGACACUCCCUUCUCCUGAAACAUCAGCCUUUAACAUGAUUGCAUCUUCUGCAUUAGUGUAUUAGUGUUUCUUCGCUGUCCAUAACGUUGUAAAGAAAAUCUGAAAAUGUCUAGACGGAUUUUAUUCUUCACAUAUACAGUAUAUCUAAGCAUCGCAGCAUAGCUGGUACAAUCAUGAACCCAAUGUUCUAGUUGGAAUAGUGCAGAGUAUAUAUGCCAAUAACAUGUAAGACAGGUGGUCAGUUACAAUUUACAAACUUGCAGCGGAAAACAUUCCUUUUCAGGAUUGUAGUUCUCCUCGAUCUGCUGCACGA